GUCUACCACCAUACCACCCUGAACAAGCCUGAUGUCUGAUCUCGGAAGCUAAGCAGGAUCAGGCUUGGUUAGGACUUGGAUGGGAGACCACCUAGGAAGACCAGGUGCUGUAGGCA
rnacentral:rRNA from 1 species